rnacentral:rRNA from 1 species
AACGAACGCUGGCGGUAGGCCUUACACAUGCAAGUCGAACGAGAAAUACAUUUCGGUGUAGAGUAAAGUGGCGGACGGGUGAGUAACGCGUAGGUAGAUAGCCAGUAGUACGGAACAACCAUUGGAAACGAUGGCUAAUACCGCAUACGCCGGAGACGGGAAAGGUGCUUGCACCACUAUUGGGGGAGCCUACGCCUGAUUAGCUUGUUGGUAGGGUAAAAGCCUACCAAGGCGAGGAUCAGUAGCCGGUCUGAGAGGACGAUCGGCCACAUUGGAACUGAGACACGGUCCAGACUCCUACGGGAGGCAGCAGUGGGGAAUAUUGGACAAUGGGCGAAAGCCUGAUCCAGCAAUGCCGCGUGAGUGAUGAAUGCUUUAGGGUUGUAAAGCUCUUUCACUAAUGAGGAUGAUGACGUUAAUUAGAGAAGAAGUCCCGGCUAACUUCGUGCCAGCAGCCGCCGUAAC